rnacentral:rRNA from 1 species
AUUGAACGCUGGCGGCAGGCCUAACACAUGCAAGUCGAGCGGAUGAAGGGAGCUUGCUCCUGGAUUCAGCGGCGGACGGGUGAGUAAUGCCUAGGAAUCUGCCUGGUAGUGGGGGAUAACGUCCGGAAACGGGCGCUAAUACCGCAUACGUCCUGAGGGAGAAAGUGGGGGAUCUUCGGACCUCACGCUAUCAGAUGAGCCUAGGUCGGAUUAGCUAGUUGGUGGGGUAAAGGCCUACCAAGGCGACGAUCCGUAACUGGUCUGAGAGGAUGAUCAGUCACACUGGAACUGAGACACGGUCCAGACUCCUACGGGAGGCAGCAGUGGGGAAUAUUGGACAAUGGGCGAAAGCCUGAUCCAGCCAUGCCGCGUGUGUGAUGAAGGUCUUCGGAUUGUAAAACGCUUUAAGUUGGGAGGAAGGGCAGUAAGUUAAUACCUUGCUGUUUUGACGUUACCAACAGAAUAAGCACCGGCUAACUUCGUG